rnacentral:lncRNA from 1 species
UGUCCCUUUGCAGUUCCAUAGUAUGAUCUUCAUAAAUCACCUGAGUUAACGACACGACCCUCUUCCUCUAAGCCGUUCCCACCACUAGCUGAAGUUCUUUUUUCACUGAUUGCCUUCCCAGAUUUUUUCUACACAGAAGCCAUCACCUGGAGCAACAAUUGAAUAUGGCUAGAAUCCUCCUUCCGGCUACAGCAAAGGGGUCAAAUACUGUGGAUGAAGCGUGCCGGUUGGCACAAAGGAACAGUGCGCAGGAGCGCCAUCGCUGGAGUUGGUGGGAGUGACGACGCAGACUCCCAGCUUAGUCAUUUCACCAUCUCGUCCUCCCCCAACCACCGACGCUGCUCUGGAUAGCCGACCAGACUCUGGCGUGGUCGGCGGAGGGGAACUCCGGCUUCCUCGACGACCCUUGCCUUCGAAUCUCCUCA